rnacentral:rRNA from 1 species
GACGAACGCUGGCGGCGUGCUUAACACAUGCAAGUCGAACGGAAAGGCCCUGCUUUUGUGGGGUGCUCGAGUGGCGGACGGGUGAGUAACACGUGAGUAACCUGCCCUGUACUUUGGGAUAACUUCAGGAAACUGGGGCUAAUCCCGGAUAGAAGCUCCUGCUGCAUGGUGGGGGUGGGAGAGUUUCGGCGGGUGGGGAUGGACGCGCGGCUUAUCAGCUUGCUGGUUGGGUAGUGGCAUACCAAGGAUUUGACGGGUAGACGGCCUGAGAGGGUGACCGGCAACAUUGGGACUAAGAUACGGACCAGACGCCUACGGGAGGCAGCAGUGGGGAAGAUUGCACAAUGGGCGGAAGCCUGAUGCAGAAACGCCGCGUGCGUGAUGCCGGCCUUCGGGGUGUAAACCGCUUUCGCCUGUGACGACGCGUGAGUGACGGUAAUGGGUAAAGAAGCACCGGCUAACUACGUG